UAGAUGAUCUUUAUUAAC
rnacentral:siRNA from 1 species